ACGGCCCAACAAAUCUGUACCAUAAACACAUACGCACAGUUAAAUACACAACACACACACUGUUAAAGAGAUGUUAUAAAGAGAAUUACCACAGUGGUGCGAUGGCGUGUAGUUGCAGAUCAAUUAUUAAAACUCUGUCAGAAGAAAACAAAAAGCUAGAUGAGAAAGAGGGGUUCGAGAAGAGAAGGAGUUGGUGGUGGUUUGUGCUCGUUGGUAAGGGGGCGGCUGCCGGUGAAGAUGGGUUUCGUGUACGAAGGUGCAAGGUGGCAUUGGACUUUCUGAAGUAGCUAAGAGGAAGUGGCGAUGAUAGUGACGAUGGGAAUGUAGGACUUGUCUGGUGUGAUAUGGAGAAGAUGGUAGCGGAGGCGGCUAGGGUUUAUAGACGGUGUCGAUAGGACAUGAAGGUCGUGAGAGAAGCGGUGGUAGCGUCUAUAACCGGUGAUAAGAGAGAUGGAAAUUCGUUUUACAAUUAUCAACCCAAAAACCAUAAAUAUGUCAGUCGUUUCAAUUCCACACUAAAUCGAUUAAAUAUAAGCGAUUAAAGAGGCAUGAUUUUUAGGGCUUACUGAUGGAUGAUAUGGUGCCGAUGGUGAGCGCGAAAGGUUGGUCCGUGCAUCGAUGGGUACCUGAUAAAGAUGGUGCACCGGAGGUGGAGCAGGUGAUGAUUACCGAUGAGAAAACUUAGAGGGUGUUUGGAUAAAUGCAUUUUUAGCUUAAUUAGCUUAUUGCUUAUCGUUUAUUGUGGUGGGAAUAAGCAUUUUUUUAAAAUGUGUUUGGAUUAGUUUAUUGCGGUGGGAAUAAACAAUAAGCAAUAAGCAUUUGAAGUGUUUGGCAAACAAAACAGCUUAUAUGAGUAAAAUGACUAAUAAGCA
rnacentral:lncRNA from 1 species